GCAAACUUGGUCAUUUAGAGGAAGUAAAAGUCGUAACAAGGUUUCCGUAGGUGAACCUGCGGAAGGAUCAUUAACGAAUUCCAAAAAGUAAAGAGGUUCUGUGCUGGCGCCGCAGGUGCACGGCCUCGAUACAACCCACACCUGUGCACAUGUCGACUGAAGCUCCAUGCGAGUGGGGUGGACGUCUUUCUUUCACACACGCUUUGUGUUCUUUGUGUAUGAAACGAAAUGUAUUAAUGACAACUUUCAACAACGGAUCUCUUGGCUCUCGCAUCGAUGAAGAACGCAGC
rnacentral:misc_RNA from 1 species